GUAUAAGCUUGUUUAUACGGCGAGACUGUGGAUGGCUCAUUAAAUCAGUUAUAGUUUAUCUGAUGGUUUCUUUUGUCUUUUUUUUACCUACUUGGAUAACCGUGGUAAUUUUAGAGCUAAUACAUGCGCAAGGUCCCGAGCGCGGGGGGCGGGGCUUCACGGCCUCGUCCUCGCAUGCGCAGAGGGAUGUAUUUAUUAGGUUAAAAACCAGCAGCCGGCAACGGCUUCAACACCCCUGGUGAUUCAUAGUAACUCUUUCGGAUCGCAUUCAUGUCCUCCUCCUGGGGCCGGCGACGAUUCAUUCAAAAUUUCUUCCCUAUCAACUUUUCGGAUGGUAGGGAUAGGA
rnacentral:rRNA from 1 species